UGCAAGUCGAGCGGUAAGGCCCUUCGGGGUACACGAGCGGCGAACGGGGUGAGUAACACGUGGGUGAUCUGCCUUGCACUCUGGAAUAAGCCUGGGAAACUGGGUCUAAUACCGGAUAUGACCUGCCUCUGCAUGGGGGUUGGUGGAAAGAUUUAUCGGUGCGAGAUGGGCCCGCGGCCUAUCAGCUUGUUGGUGGGGUAAUGGCCUACCAAGGCGACGACGGGUAGCCGGCCUGAGAGGGCGACCGGCCACACUGGGACUGAGACACGGCCCAGACUCCUACGGGAGGCAGCAGUGGGGAAUAUUGCACAAUGGGCGGAAGCCUGAUGCAGCGACGCCGCGUGAGGGAUGACGGCCUUCGGGUUGUAAACCUCUUUCGACAGGGACGAAGCGCAAGUGACGG
rnacentral:rRNA from 1 species